ACGGCCUGGAUAUUGGGCAGGACGCCGCCCUGCGCGAUGGUCACACGGCCCAGCAGCUUGUUGAGCUCCUCGUCGUUGCGGAUGGCCAGCUGCAGGUGGCGAGGGAUGAUGCGCGUCUUCUUGUUGUCCCUCGCCGCGUUG
ensembl:miRNA predicted gene, 44364